UACGAAUGGGGCAAGCGUUGUUCGGAAUCAUUGGGCGUAAAGCGCGUGUAGGCGGCUUGGUAAGUCGAGUGUGAAAGCCCGGGGCUCAACCCCGGAAGGUCGCUCGAAACUGCCUCGCUCGAGUCCCGGAGAGGAAGGCGGAAUUCCCGGUGUAGAGGUGAAAUUCGUAGAUAUCGGGAGGAACACCAGCGGCGAAGGCGGCCUUCUGGACGGUGACUGACGCUGAGACGCGAAAGCGUGGGGAGCAAACAGG
rnacentral:rRNA from 1 species